rnacentral:rRNA from 1 species
GGGGAAUCUUCCGCAAUGGACGAAAGUCUGACGGAGCAACGCCGCGUGUAUGAUGAAGGUCUUCGGAUUGUAAAGUACUGUCAUUGGGGAAGAACGGUUUUCUUGAAAAGAUUGAGAAGACAUGACGGUACCCAAGGAGGAAGCCCCGGCUAACUACGUGCCAGCAGCCGCGGUAAUACGUAGGGGGCAAGCGUUGUCCGGAAUUAUUGGGCGUAAAGGGAGCGUAGGCGGACUUUUAAGUGAGAUGUGAAAUACCCGGGCUCAACCUGGGUGCUGCAUUUCAAACUGGAAGUCUAGAGUGCAGGAGAGGAGAGUGGAAUUCCUAGUGUAGCGGUGAAAUGCGUAGAGAUUAGGAAGAACACCAGUGGCGAAGGCGACUCUCUGGACUGUAACUGACGCUGAGGCUCGAAAGCGUGGGGAGCAAACA